ACAGGUUGCAGGUUUGCAAAAACAGACCCUACUCAAGACGUUUUGAGGGUCUCCCCAGUGACAUUCACACCUAAGCUGAAGUAACGCGGCUCCAAGAUCUCCUCAGGAGCUCCAGGAAUGCCCAAGCAGGAUGCUUCCCAGCUAAUGAUGUACAUUCAAUCAACAGUUUACCAUUUGCCAAACAGAAAGAUGUAAUUGAGUAUCUGCCAAGACAAAAUAACAGCUAGGUAACUUGCAUGGAAGUGCACAAGAUGUUUAAACAGUACAAAGAGAAAGAAACGGUACUACUUGAUAAAAGAGAGACACA